rnacentral:rRNA from 1 species
AGAGUUUGAUCAUGGCUCAGGACGAACGCUGGCGGCGUGCUUAACACAUGCAAGUCGAGCGGAAAGGCUUCCUUCGGGAAGUACUCGAGCGGCGAACGGGUGAGUAACACGUGGAUAAUCAACCUCUUGCUCUGGAAUACCCCGGGGAAACUCGGAUCAAUGCCAGAUAAAGUGCGGCGCUGCAGGGUGCCGUACCAAAGAUAGCUUCGGCCUUCGGCGAGAGACGAGUCCGCGGCCCAUUAGCUAGUUGGCGGGGUAAUGGCCCACCAAGGCUACGAUGGGUAGCUGGUCUGAGAGGAUGAUCAGCCACACUGGGACUGAGACACGGCCCAGACUCCUACGGGAGGCAGCAGUGGGGAAUCUUGCGCAAUGGGCGAAAGCCUGACGCAGCAACGCCGCGUGCGGGAGGAAGGCCUUCGGGUUGUAAACCGCUUUCAGGGGAGACGAAGCUUCCAGGGUGAAUAGCUCUGUGGAGUGACGGUAUCUUCAGAAGAAGUCCCGGCUAACUACGUGCCAGCAGCCGCGGUG